rnacentral:misc_RNA from 1 species
CGCACCUUGCGCCCCUUGGUAUUCCGAGGAGCAUGCCUGUUUGAGUGUCUUGAAGUCAUCAACCCCUCCCGUCUUUUGUUGCGGAGAGGUCGGUUGGAGUUGGGGGCUUGCGGCCGCUAGGCCGCUCCCCUCGAAUGCUUCGGUUGGGCCCGUGGGUCGACUCGGUAGGGCGUUGUAGCAUCCUCGCUCUCGUUCCGAGACGUUUCUCCUGCGCUUGUGUGCCCUCCCGCAGACCGCCCCUUGGAGCGGCGGUCAAACACAAACUUUGAAAUCUGACCUCAAAUCAGGUAGGACUACCCGCUGAACUUAA